GCAAACUUGGUCAUUUAGAGGAAGUAAAAGUCGUAACAAGGUCUCCGUUGGUGAACCAGCGGAGGGAUCAUUACAGAGUUACUAAACUCCCAAACCAUUGUGAACUUACCUAUGUUGCCUCGGUGGUGGCUUACCCUGUACUUACCCUGUAGCUACCCUGUAGCUACCCGGUACUUACCCGGUAGCAGCCGCCGGUGGAUCUUCAAACUCUUGUUUAAUCAUAAGCAUUCUGAGUAAUUACUAUAAUCAGUUAAAACUUUCAACAACGGAUCUCUUGGUUCUGGCAUCGAUGAAGAACGCAGC
rnacentral:misc_RNA from 1 species